UACAGAGGGGGCAAGCGUUGUUCGGAAUUACUGGGCGUAAAGGGCGCGUAGGCGGCCUCCUAAGUCAGACGUGAAAUCCCUCGGCUCAACCGGGGAACUGCGUCUGAUACUGGGAGGCUUGAAUCCGGGAGAGGGAUGUGGAAUUCCAGGUGUAGCGGUGAAAUGCGUAGAUAUCUGGAGGAACACCGGUGGCGAAGGCGGAUCUGGCCGACACUGACGCUGAGGAGCGAAA
rnacentral:rRNA from 1 species